rnacentral:lncRNA from 1 species
AAAUCUGUUAAAAGGUUUCCUCCCCACUGAAGAAUUUAUGCUCAUAUCCCCAAUAGACCUGUUGGACCUUGGUGUAAAAGGAGAUGAAAACCUCCUUUUAGAUGAUGAUUCACUACAAGGAGUGGUGGGGGUGGCACACCUCUCCUUCGGAUUGCUGCUUGGUCUUGCUUUAGCUCUUGCUGAUGCAGUCGGGCUCAUGUAGUUGGGGACCGAAAAUGGUGGGCAGCUCCUCAAGCUAUCAUCGUCCUUCAUUGAAUAAAGAGAAGCUGCUUUUCUUGCUUUGAUCCAUCGGUUUGUGGACCUUGAUGACGUUGGUGUAUUAGGCGUCGUGUCAAGCUGCUUGUGGGUUGAUCUCGAAGGCGUGGUUGCAAACUGAUGGUUCUUUUGAGUAGGGGUGGUGGUGGUAUGAUAAGGCAGUUGUUGUUCCACCCACUUCCACCACAAGGGGUAUCCACUCGUUUUAUGAGCUGAUGAUGGCGUGUCUUUCCGCUGUUGGUGAACAGUUGUUGGAGGUGAGUUAA